UACGUAGGGGGCAAGCGUUGUCCGGAAUCAUUGGGCGUAAAGAGCGUGUAGGCGGCUCGAUAAGUCCGCUCUGAAAGCCCGGGGCUCAACCCCGGGAGGCGGGCGGAUACUGUCGAGCUAGAGUCCGGAAGAGGCGAGUGGAAUUCCUGGUGUAGCGGUGAAAUGCGUAGAGAUCGGAAAGAACACCACGGCGAAAGCACUCUGCUGGGCCGACACUGACACUGAGAGACGAGAGCUAGGGGAGCGAAUGGG
rnacentral:rRNA from 1 species